CGAAUUGUAGUUUAGAGAAGUGUUUUCCAGGAUAGCUCGGGCAUAGGUCCUUUGGAACGAGGCAUCAUAGAGGGUGAGAAUCCCGUCUGUGGUCCGAUGUCUAUUCUGAUGUGAUACACUUUCAAAGAGUCAGGUUGUUUGGGAUUGCAGCCUAAAAUGGGUGGUAAAUACCAUCUAAAGCUAAAUAUUGGCGAGAGACCGAUAGCGAACAAGUACCGUGAGGGAAAGAUGAAAAGAACUUUGAAAAGAGAGUUAAACAGUACGUGAAAUUGCCAAAAGGGAAACGCUUGGAACCAGUGUUGCAACUAGUAAUCAGCCGUUCUUCGAACGGUGCACUUGCUAGGCGCAGGUCAACAUCAGUUUGUCUCGGAGUAAAAACCCUCCUCUCGGUUUUCGGACCGCGUGGUUGACAUGCUCUGGGACAGACUGAGGUCUGCUAACAGGAUGUUGACGAAAUGGUUUCAAACGACCCGUCUUGAAACACGGACCAAGGAGUCUAACAAAUAUGCGAGUAUUUGGGUG
rnacentral:rRNA from 1 species